rnacentral:misc_RNA from 1 species
AACGAGGCCGACCUGCGGCUGAGUUACCUGCGGAAGGAUCAUUACCGAGUUUACAACUCCCAAACCCCUGUGAACAUACCUAUACGUUGCCUCGGCGGAUCAGCCCGCGCCCCGUAAAAAGGGACGGCCCGCCCGAGGACCCCUAAACUCUGUUUUUAGUGGAACUUCUGAGUAAAACAAACAAAUAAAUCAAAACUUUUAACAACGGAUCU